AACAACAACAACAAUGAACAACAACAACAAACACAUCUAGAGACAGCAAAACAGCGCAAACCGACGAGGAAAAGCAACGCGAUCGUCAGCGCAACGAACGUGAGGCCAAAAAGGAAGAGCAGGACGCUAUCAAUUACAAGGCCCGAUGCCCGAGUAACUCUGCACAAGUGUAUCGCUCGUAAUUAGGCAAAUCAAUUAAAAUGGCCGCAGAGCUGAGUAACUUAUAGUUAAAAUGCACUUUGCAACAAUUGCAUGUAAACAGCGCGACAAGGAGCAACGAGAGGCGCGUUUGCUGGACUUUGAGAUACGGCGCCAGCAAAAGCGCGAGGAGCAGAACCAGCAGCGGCAACA
rnacentral:sRNA from 1 species